rnacentral:rRNA from 1 species
UUACGGGAGGCAGCAGUAGGGAAUAUUGCACAAUGGGCGAAAGCCUGAUGCAGCAACGCCGCGUGAGCGAUGAAGGCCUUCGGGUCGUAAAGCUCUUUUCUGGGAGAUGAGAAAGGACAGUAUCCCAGGAAUAAGUCUCGGCUAACUACGUGCCAGCAGCCGCGGUAAAACGUAGGAGGCAAGCGUUAUCCGGAUUCACUGGGCGUAAAGCGCGUGCAGGCGGUUUGGUAAGUUGGGCGUGAAAUCUCCCGGCUCAACUGGGAGGGGUCGUUCAAUACUACCAGACUCGAGAGCGAUAGAGGAAAAUGGAAUUCCCGGUGUAGUGGUGAAAUGCGUAGAUAUCGGGAGGAACACCAGUGGCGAAAGCGAUUUUCUGGAUCGUUUCUGACGCUCAGACGCGAAAGCUAGGGUAGCAAACGGGAUUAGAUACCCCGGUAGG